rnacentral:rRNA from 1 species
AGGGAAUCUUCCGCAAUGGACGAAAGUCUGACGGAGCAACGCCGCGUGAGCGAUGAAGGUCUUCGGAUCGUAAAGCUCUGUUGUUAGGGAAGAACAAGUACCGUUCGAAUAGGGCGGUACCUUGACGGUACCUAUCGAGAAAGCCACGGCUAACUACGUGCCAGCAGCCGCGGUAAUACGUAGGUGGCAAGCGUUGUCCGGAAUUAUUGGGCGUAAAGCGCGCGCAGGCGGUCCUUUAAGUCUGAUGUGAAAGCACGCGGCUCAACCGCGUAAGGUCAUUGGAAACUGGAGGACUUGAGUGCAGAAGAGGAAAGCGGAAUUCCACGUGUAGCGGUGAAAUGCGUAGAGAUGUGGAGGAACACCAGUGGCGAAGGCGGCUUUCUGGUCUGUAACUGACGCUGAGGCGCGAAAGCGUGGGGAGCAAAC